rnacentral:rRNA from 1 species
CCUACGGGUGGCAGCAGUGGGGGAUAUUGCACAAUGGGCGAAAGCCUGACGCAGCGACGCCGCGUGAGUGAUGAAGGUCUUCGGAUCGUAAAGCUCUGUCAGCAGGGAAGAACGGUCACUGUGCUAAUCAGCAGUGCAUUGACGGUACCUGCACAGGAAGCACCGGCUAACUCCGUGCCAGCAGCCGCGGUAAUACGGAGGGUGCGAGCGUUAUACGGAAGUAUUGGGCGUAAAGGGCUCGUAGGCGGUAUGUCAAGUCAGGGGUGAAAGCCCCGGGCUCAACGUGGGAACUGCCUUUGAAACUGGGAAACGGGAGUGCGGGAGAGGAUAGUGGAAUUCCAGGUGUAGGGGUGAAAUCCGUAGAUAUCUGGAGGAACAUCAGUGGCGAAGGCGACUAUCUGGCACAUAACUGACGCUGAGGAGCGAAAGCGUGGGUAGCAAACAGGAUUAGAUACCCGAGUAGUC